rnacentral:rRNA from 1 species
UUCGACACACUAUCAUUAACUGAAUCCAUAGGUUAAUGAGGCGAACCGGGGGAACUGAAACAUCUAAGUACCCCGAGGAAAAGAAAUCAACCGAGAUUCCCCCAGUAGCGGCGAGCGAACGGGGAGCAGCCCAGAGCCUGAAUCAGUAUGUGUGUUAGUGGAAGCGUCUGGAAAGGCGCGCGAUACAGGGUGACAGCCCCGUACACAAAAAUGCACAUGCUGUGAGCUCGAUGAGUAGGGCGGGACACGUGGUAUCCUGUCUGAAUAUGGGGGGACCAUCCUCCAAGGCUAAAUACUCCUGACUGACCGAUAGUGAACCAGUACCGUGAGGGAAAGGCGAAAAGAACCCCGGCGAGGGGAGUGAAAAAGAACCUGAAACCGUGUACGUACAAGCAGUGGGAGCACGCUUAGGCGUGUGACUGCGUACCUUUUGUAUAAUGGGUCAGCGACUUAUAUUCUGUAGCAAGGUUAACCGAAUAGGGGAGCCGAAGGGAAACCGAGUCUUAACUGGGCGUUAAGUUGCAGGGUAUAGACCCGAAACCCGGUGAUCUAGCCAUGGGCAGGUUGAAGGUUGGGUAACACUAACUGGAGGACCGAACCGACUAAUGUUGAAAAAUUAGCGGAUGACUUGUGGCUGGGGGUGAAAGGCCAAUCAAACCGGGAGAUAGCUGGUUCUCCCCGAAAGCUAUUUAGGUAGCGCCUCGUGAAUUCAUCUCCGGGGGUAGAGCACUGUUUCGGCAAGGGGGUCAUCCCGACUUACCAACCCGAUGCAAACUGCGAAUACCGGAGAAUGUUAUCACGGGAGACACACGGCGGGUGCUAACGUCCGUCGUGAAGAGGGAAACAACCCAGACCGCCAGCUAAGGUCCCAAAGUCAUGGUUAAGUGGGAAACGAUGUGGGAAGGCCCAGACAGCCAGGAUGUUGGCUUAGAAGCAGCCAUCAUUUAAAGAAAGCGUAAUAGCUCACUGGUCGAGUCGGCCUGCGCGGAAGAUGUAACGGGGCUAAACCAUGCACCGAAGCUGCGGCAGCGACGCUGAUGCGUU